GGGAUUCAGGCGAUAGGGCCAAGAAAAAAGAGAAGGAAGUGGAGGAGAGAGAAAGCAAAGUGCAAGAGAGAGAGAGGUGAACAGGGGAGGGAUAAAAGGGCAGCAAAAGGAGUGAGCACACAAAUACAGAAACAGCAAGCGCCCCUCUCUCUAUCUCGACUCCUCUGCCCCCUUUCUCCCACCUCAAAGACAUUUCGUCCCUCCUCUCCUCCUCCCUCCCUCUCUCCCACCGGUACAAGUAGCAGCAGGCCUCCCUCAGCACUGUACCUCUAGCUCCUGCAUCCACCCUGCGUACCUCGAGUCGGGGAGCGAGGCGGUGGCUGCAUUGCUUGCCUCCUACAGGCCGCAAGAUUCGUGGUAUUUGCCCGUCAGAAUCCCAUCCCUGUGCGAGGUUGCUGCGGCGAGCCGGCCGAUUUGGGGCCUAAUUCGGUCCAAGAUUUGAGCCUCCCGGAUCAGAGAUCGCGCCAAGCUCGAGGGUGGUGGCCGCUGGCCGGGCAGGUAGAGAUCCCUCUUGUCUGCUGCAGAGGAGCUAUGAGACGAUGAGGGAAGAUAGCAACAAGAAGAGCAAGCUUUCAUGGUCCAAGUCCCUCGUGAGGAAGUGGUUCAACAUCAGGAACAAGGCGAACGACUUCCAUGCUGAUCUCGACGCCAGCAGCAAAGGAAGGGAUCACGGUGAUGGUUGUGGAGCACGGAGGGUCAGCUUCUCAGCGAGCGAAGCAAGCACAAGCACACCCAAGAAAAGCAGAACUGACCGGCCAUUGAAGCGGAGUGCCGAUCGUGUUCGCCGCGGGAGGAAUGAUUUCGAUGUGGCACGCAUGACAGAGGUUCAAGAUUACAGAAUCUUUACCGCGACAUGGAAUGUCGGUGGUAAGUCCCCGCUAAGGGGCCUAAAUUUGGAUGAGUGGCUCCAUUCUUCACCUCCCGCCGAUAUCUAUGUAUUAGGAUUUCAGGAGAUUGUUCCGUUGAAUGCUGGAAAUGUUCUCGGUACCGAAGAUAACAUUCCAGCAAAGAAGUGGGUAUCACUUAUUAGGAGGACACUAAACAAGAAUCCUGGGACCAGCGGUUAUGCUGGCUAUCAUACACCUUCACCAGUACUUGAUCCCGUUGUAGAAUUAGAUGCUGAUUUUGAGGGGUCUGCAAGAAGGCAGGAUAACUUCUCAUUAUUCCAGCGCCGAUCAUUCCACAACCUCAGCCGUAGUUUGAGAAUGGAUGACUGCAUGCAACAACCAAGAUUGGAACGCAGGUUCAGCGUGUGUGACCCAGUCAACUUGGGAGGCAGACCGAGUGACUUUGAUGGAAAUUUGCGAUGGACUGGGUCACCAGAUUAUGAGAACAAUGAUGAAGAACUGACCAUUGGCGCACAAUUUUCACCGUUCCCUUACAUCUACAACAUGCCAGGACCUACUGAUGGAAACGAUGAGCAAUCAAAUAACUCCAGGUAUUGUUUGGUAGCCAGCAAACAAAUGGUUGGCAUAUUUCUGACUGUUUGGGUGUGCAAUGAAAUAAGGGAAGAUGUGAGGAAUUUGAAAGUUUCUUGUGUAGGUAGAGGAUUGAUGGGUUAUCUGGGAAAUAAGGGCUCUAUAUCAAUAAGCAUGUCUUUGCACCAGACCAGUUUCUGCUUCAUCUGUUGUCAUUUGACCUCAGGGGAAAAGGAAGGAGAUGAAGUGCGCAGGAAUUCUGAUGUUCUCGAAAUUUUGAGAAAGACUAGAUUUCCACGAGUUCGUGGUGCUGGUGAUUCUAAGUCACCUGAAACAAUUCUUGACCAUGAUCGUAUAAUAUGGCUUGGGGACUUGAACUAUCGGAUUGCCUUAUCAUAUUGUUCAGCAAGAGCUCUUGUUGAAAUGCAUAACUGGAAGCAAUUGCUAGAAAAGGACCAGCUUCGGAUACAACGAAGAUAUGGGCGAGUCUUCCAGGGUUGGAAGGAGGGAAGAAUUUAUUUUCCUCCCACAUACAAGUAUUCAUUCAAUUCCGAUCGGUAUGCUGGAGAGGGCAUGCAUUCCAAAGAGAAGAGGAGAACACCUGCAUGGUGUGAUCGCAUUCUCUGGUACGGAAACGGCCUCAGUCAGCUAUCUUAUGUUCGUGGAGAGUCUCGCUUCUCCGAUCACAGACCAGUAUACAGUAUUUUCAUGGCUGAGGUUGAGAUUGCCCGCCAGAGGAAGAAGAACAUGGGCUAUUUCAGCUCUAGAAUUGAGGUGGAGGAGCUGUUACCACAUUCACGGAGCUACAGAGACAUAAACUUUUACUGAUUUGACUUAUCAAGUUAUCAGCAUGAUUUAAGAUACUCAGGCAAGAAUGUGCAAAUACUAACUUACAGGAUAUCGGGCAAUUUUGCGGACGGCCAUUGUGUCAAAUGGACAAGUACCAGCCCAUGUCACUAACUAUAUAUUUGUGACCCAUCUUUAGCCUUUAGCUUCUCUGAACAAGGCAUCGUUCCAGUUUUUUCCCUUCUUUAUUUAUUAUUGUUUAGAUUGUCCAUAAACACCAUAUUUUAUUUUAUUUUCCUCUUCGGUUUUGUAAGCUUUGUAAACAAACUAGAGUGCCCCUUGCAAGGUGUGGACGAAUUAUUGCAAAACAUGAUACCUGUCCUUAGCUUUAGGACAAGGUGUUCCUAGGCUGAGGGAGGAAUGAUGGGUGUUAGAAGCUUGCAUUGUUCCAA